rnacentral:rRNA from 1 species
UACGGGGGGAGCAAGCGUUGUUCGGAUUUACUGGGCGUAAAGGGCGCGUAGGCGGUCAGCACAAGUCAGUUGUGAAAUCUCCGGGCUUAACUCGGAAAGGUCAACUGAUACUGUGCGACUAGAGUGCGGAAGGGGCAACUGGAAUUCUUGGUGUAGCGGUGAAAUGCGUAGAUAUCAAGAGGAACACCUGCGGCGAAGGCGGCAUCCUGGACUAACACUGACGCUGAGGCGCGAAAGCUAGGGGAGCAAACGGG